rnacentral:snRNA from 1 species
AUACUUAUCUGGUAGGGGAGAUACCAUGAUCAUGAAGGUGGUUUUCCCAGGGCAUGCCUUAUCCAUUGCACAUCUGGAUGUGCACUCUGGAUUUGACUCCUGUGAUUUCCCCAAAUGAGAGAAAUUUGACUGCAUAAUUUAUAGAAGUGGGGGACUGCAUUUGCAUUCUCCCC